rnacentral:rRNA from 1 species
UGCGUUUUAAUUUUUGACUCUAUUUGUUGUGGUGCUAUGAGUUUUUAGUUUGUUUUUAUGUUGUUUUUUGUAAAAUAUUUUGAUUUUUUUUAGUUUCUUGUGGUAUCAAAAAUUUGUUUUUUGAACUGGAUUAGUACCCAGGUAAUCAAAAUUUAAUAAUUCGGGAGUAAAGUUUUGUUUAAACCGAAAAAAUAUUGACUGACUUUAGAUUUUUCUUUGGAACAUGUGAUUUGCUGGAGAGCCCUCUUUUUUGGUGAAUUUUGUUGGCACAUGUAUGAUUGUUUAGUUUUUAUUUUAUUUUGUAAUGCUUUGUUGUUUUGGCAUUAAAAACAGAUAUAUAUUUGGCUUAUGAAUUUAUGUUUCAUGUGUUACUAUUAUGAAUUUUUUUUGGAUUAGUUUUUUAUUUUUUUUUGAAAUUGGAAAAGAAAGUAAUUUUUUUUUAAUGUUUUAAUGAAUUUAAUAAAUAAGG